rnacentral:lncRNA from 1 species
GAAUCCGUCUGGUCCUGGACUCUUUUUGGUUGGUAAGCUAUUGAUUAUUGCCACAAUUUCAGCUUCUGUUAUUGGUCUAUUCAGAGAUUCAACUUCUUCCUGGUUUAGUCUUGGGAGAGUGUAUCUGUCGAGGAAUUUAUCUUCCAUGUAGUUGAGCGGUCUUGAGUGAGAUUCUUAAUCCUGAGUUCUAGUUUGAUUGCACUGUGGUCUGAG